UACAGAGGGGGCAAGCGUUGUCGGAAUUACUGGGUGUAAAGGGUGCGUAGGCUGUUCGUCAAGUCUGAUGUGAAAGCCCUGGGCUUCAACUCAGGAAUUGCAUUGGAAACUGACGGACUCAGAGUAUCGGAGAGGGAAGCGGAAUUCCUGGUGUAGCGGUGAAAUGCGUAGAUAUGACAUAGAACACCCAAUUGCGAAGGCA
rnacentral:rRNA from 1 species